AUGUCGGAUGUGUUGCACUUUGCGUUUCCACUAUUGUUUAUUUUUAUAAUUACACGAAAUUAAAACUGUGCCAAGGCAAAAUGUGUGGCUUUUAGUCCUGCCAAUAAUUAGUAGUCGAUUGUGCAUUUUAUUUGUGGGUUUAUUCAGACAUGUCAUUGAUGAAAGUGAAGAAUUUGUGAAAAUGUGAUAAUAAUUUGUAUUUGGCUUUGUGCCAUUGGAUUUAUUGGAGUUUUUGUGUGAGAAGGUCAUGAUGUGGGGGUUUGGAGUCGUUGUGGUGUUGGUGUUUGUGGUGCAGGGGGGUUUGGGGAUGUGCCCAUCGUUGUGUACUUGUAGGACGAAUAAGGCUGAUGGGGCGGCAUCGGAGCCCCUGACUGGGGAGUUUCUGAAGCUCAAGUGCGGCGGGAGCCCCACUCAGAUCACGGAGCUGAAAGAAAUAGACCUAAGCAACCAGCACUUGUGGGCAGUUGUUGUCAGCCUGAAUUUGUCUGGAAAUGCGAUAUCAACAUUGUCAAGAGAUUUGCACUUACCAAUAUUGCAAAAACUAGAUCUAAGCAGAAAUCAAAUAACUCUCAUAGAGUCUGAUGCAUUCUACAACAUGACGUCGUUACAGCGGCUAGACCUGUCAUACAAUCAGAUAAGCAAUGUCUACAAGGAUAUAUUCAAAAGUCUCGUUAACUUGGAGCGGUUGAACCUAGCCCAGAAUCAUAUAUCUGUGCUUGCUACCGGCACAUUUGAUUAUCUCGUUGGAUUGACACAUUUAGACCUCACUGGCAACCCGCUGAUCUGCGAUUGUGACCUACUCUGGGUGGGGGACUGGGCUAGGAAUACCAGCGUCAAACUGGGGAACCUAAAGUGCGCCUUCCCAGAGAACAUGGUGGGCAAACCAGUUCGCAAACUGAAAAUAUUCCUAGACCUGUCUACUUGUGGCAGCGUUCUCCCAUCAAACAGCUUGAUAGUCAAACCGUCACAAGACCAAGUGGUUUUCGAAGGGGAUACUUUAACACUAUCUUGCAACGCCCCUUUCGCGUCUGUGGCAGCUAAAUACGAGCUGAAAUGGCUGCAUCCAAUGCUGGAAGUCUGUGACGUCAACGUGACAAAUACCGACAUGCAAGAAGAGGGUUUAGCCGAGACAACGGUAUACUUUCCUAACAUAACCAACCACCACACGGGGAACUGGACUUGUAUGUACAGCGACCAGAAUCAUAUACGGCAUAACUACUCUGUAGAGGUCUUGGUUUUGUCGAAUAAGACACAGUAUUGCCCGACAAAUUACUCGAUAAACAAUAAAGGACUGUAUUCCUGGCCACAAUUACUUGUGAAUCACACGGCUGUGGUGCCAUGUAGAAGCGGAGAAGGGUCAGCCUAUAGAUACUGCAAAGCGAAUUCUACUUGGGGACCGAUGAACACCACAGAAUGUUCUUAUAUCAGCAAUGUGACGAAGUUGCUACAGCAAUUUGCUCUUUUAAACGUCAGUUUGGUGCAGUAUUCAGCGCUGAAUGCAACGGAGAGACUCGCAAUGCUUAUUCAAGAGAAGACAUAUCCCAUAGCAGAGAUAACUGAUCCUGACGACGUCAUGUUUAUAGCAGACGCUAUACAAAACUAUAUGCAGUAUAUCGGUGAAGAGAGAGACUUAGGUUCAGCGCUAUUGGACGUGAUAAGCGCAGCGAUGAACAUAACACCGUCAGUGAUGACGGCGGCAGAGACGAGCCACGGCGCGUGCACACGCCUGCUGCGCGCCGCUGAAGACAUCUCCAACUUUACUGGCAAUGUGCAGGGGCAUAAGGUAAACCUAGCAGUGGAGCGGUUCCCGGUGCGCGAGGGCUUCAGCGGCGUGACGUGCGUGUGGUACAGCGCCGAGGGCGGCGCGGGCCCGCGCCUGCACUGCACCACCACCAACCGCACCGUGGCGCCGCUGCUGGCCGUCAGCGACGCGCUCAUCCACGCCAGCGUGCAGAUACCACAAUCGCUGCUCUACGCAACAACAGACUCCGGAACCCUGUUGCAGACCAACCCUGAGUCGUUAAUAGUGGCUAUGUAUGGUGACGCGUCGCUUUUCCCCGUGCUGCCGGAGCGAGAGAAUGACGGCCAUAUGAGGGUCCAUCGCGCGAAAGACUACUACGGACGCAGCACCAAGCGCGAAGACAUCAAUAUGGAAAUCACGUCGCCUGUUGUUGGCUUCCAGUUGACGAACGUAUCGAUCCGCGGGGACCUGCUGGAGCCGAUCAUAGCGACGGUGCGGGCGAGCUCCGUAGGCGGGGUCGAUGGCCGCGCGGCCGUGUGGGACCCCGACACCCGCCAGUGGCAGGACAACAUGACUGAUUGCAGAAUAUCCCACGUGAUAUCAGAAAUGGUGAUCAUCAGCUGCACAAGACUCGCUUACGUUGGUCUACUUCAGAACGUGGAGACCGGCAUAUACGGAGCCCGCACCGACGGCGCGAGAUUCAAGGUAUCUCACCCCGCAGUUUAUGUAGGAAGCCUUAUUCUAAUAGGUUGUGUUAGCUGCGCCACAUUAACGUAUAUCAUGUGCUACCCCGCCAUACUGAUGGCUAAGAAAACCAAACAUGCCCUCAUAAACACUUGGAUAGCCAUAGGACUACUCUGCUUCAUGUAUACCUUAGGCAUCUACCAAACAGAAGACGUCAAAUUGUGCCAGAUUUUAGGACUGCUAAUACACUAUCUGUCUCUUUCAUGCCUGUUAUGGAUGUGUGUGUCGGCUAGUAAUAUGUACAAGUGGGUGACAAAGACGCAUAAUCCUGUUAGGACUCCAGAAGAAGAUAUACCACCUGACGUUCCAGUUCAGAAACCUAUAUUAGGACUGUAUUUAGUCGGUUGGGGUAUUGCUCUGAUCGUCUGUGGGAUUUCUGGAGCUGUUAACUUAAAGGACUACGCCGGUUAUUCCCAAUGUUUCUUAAGUACCGCCCCGGCUCUAAGCGCUUUAUUCGUACCUGGAGGUAUACUGCUAAUGUUCUUAUUAGUACUAUUCCUCCUAAUCCGUUGUACUAUAAGAAGCAUGAACGUACAGUUAUCAGAAGGCACACAAGCGACUGAAAAUGUCGAUUUGGAAAUGUGGGAACCGAAUCAGGCGAAUGAAAACGCUGAAAGAAGAAGUAUUAAGUCAGCGGUAGAUUCCGAAGUCGACGACAUAGAACAUACGCCGAUAAUACAGCUUCGAGCGCAAGUUAUUGUGUUAUGUUUGUAUAUGUCUGUAUGGACAUGUGGGGCAAUAGCUGUGUACAGGCCUUUACCAGCUUACCUGCCAUAUCAGGAAGACAUCUGCAGUAUUAUAUACGCAGUUUGCGCUACUGUCUUGGGCACUUUUAUUCUAUUCUUCUACGGAAUCGCGAGAAGUGACGUCAGAGCCCAAUGGUCUAUGAUGCAUUGCUAUUUGCAGAAAAGCAAGCAAUGUUGUAGGAACAGAAGCGUUUUCGAUACAAAUCAAUCGAAUUUGCCGUCGAACCAAACCGCAGCGCCAUUGGCACAUCCCAUACCAAACGAUAACAGAUCCAGGUCUGGUAGUAGAAGCUCUAACAGAACUAAUUCAAAGACCAACAACAGUGGAACUUUUAAAGCCGGUGCUGAACUGAACGGACAGACGCUGCAAAAAGAUCUACUCAAAAACACGAAUGGAAAAACCCCAAAUAUAAACUUAGUAGUCUUACACAGACAACAGUAUAGAUCUAAUAACUCUAUGAUGACAUAUCCAGAUUCUUCAAAUGUUGGACCAGAAGUGUUCUACAAUCCCAAUCAAAUGAACGUUGCUAAAAAAUUCUUCAAGAAACAAAGGCAGAAUAUGAAGAGGAAUUGUCUCGAACUGCCUUCGAGACGUGAUUGCGACAAUGAUUCCCAUAUGUCCCUACCCUUGCCUUCAAAAGAAGCUUAUAACGGUGUUGCUAAUAUUAUAAAUUCUGGUUCCAAAGUAAACAAUACAAAUCUACACGUUGAAAGAUCGAACAACGGUAUCAAAGAGACGCGACACGGAGCGAAUCCCAAUUUACUUGAAGACGAAACGAAAGAUUACAAAAAUUAUUCAAUGGAUAGAAAAUCGUGGAAUAAAAGUGAGGAACCGAAAUCUAGUAGGGUUAUGAAUAUCUACACUAACGUCCCAGAAACACAAGUGCCACAGCACCAAAUAAUCAAAGCUGUUACGAAACCUUUCAACGUGCAAAGAACGAGUAUUUCUGAAGAAUGUUUGCAAAGUCACGCGGAGCAACCAGAAAUGAGAACAAUAUCCCAACAGUGCAGUCUAGAAUAUUCCUCAGCGUCAGAAAUCGCGAUGCCUCACACUUGUUCCGACCAAACUUUGAACACUCAUUCAGAACUCACUUCGUUCCAAGAAAGUGCUCUAUGUUCAACCAAUGAAAUCACUGACACUGAAAGUUUCGGACAGUAUAUUGACUACUUGCAACCAAAUAAGCAGGAGAACAAAGACGGCGUAGAUAAGAGUCUUCAAGACAUAUCUGAAGAAUGCACGAUGAAUAGUGACGAGAUUAACAGGUCUAGUACACCGCAGCACUUAGAAGGUGAUGCAGGGGAAAUGGACAAUUUGCUCCAAAACGCGGAACCUCAAGGUUCCAAAGAGAAAAUAGACGGAGAGAAAGACACAUUUUUCAUGGCGAAAACUACGUACGAUUUCGAAACGUGUAGUACGAAUGCUAGCGAAGCCGGCUUUGAGAAUGAAAGCGAUAUUUACUGCCCUAACUACCAAAUGUCUGAAGUUAGCAUUCGGAGUCAUGGUCUGUAUGCUCCAUCACCAUCCUCUAUGUGUCCGAACGAAAUAAGUUUUAGCAACGAAGAUGUGUCGAACAUUGAGAGCCAGUAUGUGAACUACGAUCCUGGUUGGAGAAAGACGAUCAAAAGCAAUCCAAAGUUAGGCAAAUACGUGCCGACACCAGCUUUAAGCUGCCCUGAUGUGAACAGAGAGAGUCCUGUUUCAUUCAGCAGUGAGUUAGACGAGUUAUACACUCAGAUAACGAGUAGAGAUAAGGAAAGGACACCGCGAAAGGAAGGUCUGGAUGUGACAAUAAAUAGUGACGUCACACUCAAACCUACGGACAGUGACAGUUGUGUGAGCGAGGCAGUAUCAGAUGUAGAGGUUAAGGGGGAAACGACGGUGUAAUCCACCUUUUGUGUUCGAGUUGAAACAUGGCCUGAGUCUGUUGUACAUUGGAAUGAGCUUAGUGAUGCCUGAGUAAGCACAAAUGAACAAAACUUCAAAAAUAAUAAGAGGUGUUAAUCAUAGUUGACAAUAGACAGAGAUGUUAAGUAAAUUAAGAUAAAGAUUCAUCCAUCAUCAUGAUCGUCUUCAUCGUGUCUUAGUCCACUUUUGAAUCAUACAGUUAUCUAAAGAGAUAGCUUCAAAUUGUAAAGAAAACCAUCACCAAAAACUUAAAAUUAAUCUUAAUCGUCUCCAGGCUUUCCAAGGUGGCAUGGAUUAAACUAUUACUGCCUUACAAACGGAAGACUAAAGAUAAUACCAGAUUAUAAUAUAGUCUACGUCACGAAAGAAGUCCCGCGGCCGAGUCGCUAGUGUCAAAGUUUCUACAUAGAAUUAUUACGACUUGUCAAUUAGUUCCAUUAAAAUCCGUGGACGUUUCUCCUGCCACGGAUUAUAUUUUAAACAUGGUAGUAUUUUUAGUCUUCGUUUUGCGAUAAGGCGGAGUGUUCUAACAUGGUACGGAAUUACGGAUGACAGUUUUUAGAAUAGUACAUUUGAUUACUUGGAUUGAAUCUUUACACUAUACACUCGACUCGGCUGGCUUGUGUUGUUUUGUGCCAUGUGACCGAUGAUGGUAUUGUCUCUUUCACACUAAACUGUACUCUAUAUUUCUGUCCUGUUGUCAUACCGUGUUAAAGCACAAAUAGUAUAGGCAGAGUAUUAUAUCCAAGUGCUUGAGACCACCUAUAGUAUUUCUAUUAGGUGGGGUGGUGUGGCUGAAAUCGUAGUUUUGGUUAGGAAAAGAGUUUACGCUUAGCAUCGACUGUACGUAUCCGCGAUAUACAGGUUGUUAGUGACAUCGUAACGAAUACU
rnacentral:misc_RNA from 1 species